rnacentral:rRNA from 1 species
CCCUUAGAUGUCCUGGGCCGCACGCGCGCUACACUGAUGCAUUCAACGAGUAUUUCCUUGGCCGAGAGGCCUGGGCAAUCUUUUAAACCUGCAUCGUGAUAGGGAUAGAUUAUUGCAAUUAUUAAUCUUGAACGAGGAAUUCCUAGUAAACGCAAAUCAUCAAUUUGCAUUGAUUACGUCCCUGCCCUUUGUACACACCGCCCGUCGCACCUACCGAUUGAAUGGUCCGGUGAAAUCUCGGGAUUGUGGCCAGUUCACUUUAUUGGGAGUUGGCUGCGAGAACUUGCUUAAACCUUAUCAUUUAGAGGAAGGUGAGGUCGUAACA